AUGUCGGACGUGACGGCGGUGAUGGAUCUGGAGGUGGGGGAGCCGCAGCUGGCGCUUCCACCGGGCUUCCGGUUCCACCCCACCGACGAGGAGGUGGUCACCCACUACCUCACCCGCAAGGUCCUCCGCGAAUCCUUUUCCUGCCAAGUGAUCGCCGACGUCGACCUCAACAAGACCGAGCCGUGGGAUCUCCCCGGGAAGGCGAAGAUGGGCGAGAAGGAGUGGUUCUUUUUCGUGCACAAGGGCCGGAAGUACCCGACGGGGACGCGCACCAACCGCGCGACGGAGAAGGGGUACUGGAAGGCGACGGGGAAGGACAAGGAGAUCUUCCGCGGCAAGGGCCGGGACGCCGUCCUCGUCGGCAUGAAGAAGACGCUCGUCUUCUACACCGGCCGCGCCCCCAGCGGCGGGAAGACGCCGUGGGUGAUGCACGAGUACCGCCUCGAGGGCGAGCUGCCCCAUCGCCUUCCCCGCACCGCCAAGGUACGGCUGGCAAGAUUCGAUUGUCCCCGUCUCCGUGUCGAUCGGUCGAACCGCCGGAGCAUCCGGAGAUGCUGCUGGCCUGGACCACGCGCUCACAUGUCGCGCUCGCGAUUUGCUUCUUGUUUCUUAUUCUUCUCGUGUAGUUUUCUCAACCUGCCUUUUGCGUGCGUGCAGGACGAUUGGGCUGUUUGCCGGGUGAUCAACAAAGACUUGGCGGCGAGGAAUGCUCUGCAGAUGGCGCCGGCGGCCGGCGGGGGCAUGGAGGACCCUCUCGCCUUCCUCCAUGACUUGCUCAACAAUGAUGACUUGCUCAACAACGCCGACCUGCUCGACAACGCCAGCCUGCUUGACAACGCUGACCUGCCGAUGCUCAUGGACUCACCGUCUGGCGCCGACGACUUCGCUGGCGCUUCGAGCUCCACCUCCAGUGCCGCCCUGCCGCUUGAACCGGACACGGAGCAUCUGACCGUAAAGACGGAGCCGUCACCGCAGCAGCAGCAGCAGAUGCUGAGCCCAGACUACUUCAUGCCGGCGACGGCCAACGGCUAUCUUGGCGGCGACGGGUACUCACCCUACCAGGCUAUGGGGGACCAGCAGGCCGCGAUCCGCAGGUACUGCAGGCCAAAGGCGGAGGUAGCGUCUUCGUCGGCGCUGCUGAGCCCUUCGCUGGGCUUGGACACGGCGGCGCUGGCCGGCGCGGACACCUCGUUCCUGAUGCCGUCGUCGCGGUCGUACCUCGAUCUGGAGGAGCUGUUCCGGGGCGAGCCUCUCAUGGACUACUCGGACAUGUGGAAGAUCUGA
rnacentral:rRNA from 1 species